CUGCUGCCUUCCGUAGGAGUCUGGUCCGUGUCUCAGUACCAGUGUGGGGGACCUUCCUCUCAGAACCCCUACGCAUCGUCGCCUUGGUGGGCCGUUACCCCGCCAACUAGCUAAUGCGACGCAUGACCAUCCGUAGCCGGAAUCGCUUCCUUUAAACCCGAGGAGAUGCCUCCUCGGGUUGUUACGCGGUAUUAGACGGAAUUUCUUCCGCUUAUCCCCUGCUACGGGCAGGUUUCAUACGUGUUACUCACCCGUGCGCCGGUCGCCGGCGGGAGUA
rnacentral:rRNA from 1 species